CUAGAUCACGAACUUACGACGACGGACGAUGGGACGGGACGAAGCUCUCGGAUGAAGCCAGGGGCUUAACCAGGGGCACUGGGCAGGACAGCUAACCUCAAAAUGUUAUUUUGGUCUGGUCGUUUAUACUCGUUUGGUGUUAUUAUUGAAUUGUGAUGUAGGAUCUAGGAGUACUGUUCGUGCGUGUAUUUAUCUAAGUAAAAUACUAACUGUAUACUAUAUUAAAUUUGUUUCACAUCCAGUUUAGUUAAAGCAUUUGAUGUCAUAAGAAGAUUACGGAUAAUGAUUCAAUAAUUUUUAAACCUGGAAUGUAGCAUUUCUAUUGAAAACUGUUCAUGGAGGGAAGCAAUAAUCAGGAGGAAUUAGAACUCGAGGUAAAAAACUGCCCAAAAGCUAUUCCUAAAAAAAGAGCAAAUAGUCAAACUGAAAAAUCAACUAAAAAGAUCAAAUUUGAACAGAAUAAAAGUGAUUCCACAACUAUGGAAGCAGGUGAUGACUCCGUGACUCCCCCUGAAAAUCUGAUUUUGGAAAAAAUCCUUUUAAAGAAACAAAAGGAAUUCUUUGGCUCACCAGAAGUGAUGGAAACAAUCAAGUUCCUGAUUAAUCGGAAAAGAAAAGAGUGUUGUUUAGACCAGUGAGGAAAUGCAGGAUUGACUACAUUUUACUUUCACUCAACAAUCACCCAGUUUCAGCAAAACAUCCAAUAAGCAGAGACAAGUUGUGCUGCAUAAAAACACCAUAAUGAUUUUUUACUUUUUAAUUUAUUAAAAUGAUAUAACAAAGAUAAA